UACUGCUUGUUUUAUUAGAAUUGCCAAACAGACUAUUUGCUUAUCAUUGUGUGGCACAAAUUCAACCAGAAUGUAAGUGCCAUUGCAGAGCCUGGAGCCUCUCCUAGACCUCUGUUCCUAGAUAACCAAGAUCCAGACUGACUAAAAAAAAUAACUAUAAAAUUAUAAAUGGAGACCAAUAUCGGGAUCGGUAACAUAAAUUUGAUACAAAGUACCAA